AUUAAACGCUGGCGGCAUGCCUUACACAUGCAAGUCGAACGGCAGCACGGGGGCAACCCUGGUGGCGAGUGGCGAACGGGUGAGUAGAGCAUCGGAACGUGCCCUGGAAUGGGGGAUAACGUAGCGAAAGUUACGCUAAUACCGCAUAUUCUGUGAGCAGGAAAGCAGGGGAUCGCAAGACCUUGCGUUCUGGGAGCGGCCGAUGUCGGAUUAGCUAGUUGGUGGGUAAAGGCCUACCAAGGCGACGAUCCGUAGCGGGUCUGAGAGGAUGAUCCGCCACACUGGGACUGAGACACGGCCCAGACUCCUACGGGAGGCAGCAGUGGGGAAUUUUGGACAAUGGGCGCAAGCCUGAUCCAGCCAUGCCGCGUGAGUGAAGAAGGCCU
rnacentral:rRNA from 1 species